UCGCAUCCUCUCCAUGACAGCUUGCCUCACUACACUUCAUUAAUCCUGACCCGCAACUGGAUUCUCCUGUUCGGCCAGGAGAGCCAUAACAGACUCCACCCGCGACAGAACCGGCAGUUUAGCUAGCCCCUCCCUCGGCAGCAGAGCUAAACCCGAGGCGCAAGCACCACCAGAGCCCGUCACGCUUCGAUGGCGUCACGCAAGGCGCCGUGUCCGAAAUCUGGUCGCAUCCAUUGAUGCCGCCUGGAGCAAGUCUGUUAUUGUACUGUGCCUAUGUUGUUUCUUGGGCACAGCGAAUUUUUCCAGCGGAAAUGUAAACAAGAAAGAGUCCUGGUGGCUGAAAGCUGCUGAACAAAGCGAAGAAAGGGAAAGAGUGAGACCUGAAGGAAACGUCAUCAAAGCGCUCCGGAAGCGUCCAACAAUGAAGGCUGUGAUUUACCAUGCCUUUUCUCAUGAAGAAGCCAAGGAGCAUGAUGUAUAGGGUAUUACAGUCCUGUGGAUGGGAGUGAGUAGUCCCUGAGAUGCACUUCAUGCUUUCUGCCUCAAGGGGGACUGGACCAGACCUCUCCAACAGCAGCCACAUGGAGUCCACAAGGCUGAAAAGCAAGGAAAGAAGAUUGUGGUGCUCACUGUCAGAUUUCCUCCUCCUUGACCUGCCUGGAACCCCCAGGCAAUUUCCCCUAGUUCUGGAAUGGCUCAUUUCCCUAACAACCCCAGCUCCCUUCCACUUCAAGCUAGUCUUGUGGUCAUGACUUAUUAAAUAACCUGUAUCAUGCAUUUCUCAAGCUUCCUUCCCCACAAGGAUUAGAGAAGUCUUGUGUUACAAAGGAUUUUGAAUGCUCAAUAGAAUAACCUCAGAGAAACAGGACAGGAAGUCACUGACCUGGCUGCAGUAUAGGACAGUGUCACAGUUAGCAUGUGAGUGUUACUUUUACAUCUUGGCAGUUGUGUGUAGCAAACACUUGGAAGACAAGGAAUUUGUAGCCUAGAUCAGCAAAAAUGGUGGCUCUCAGGAACGGGGUCUGAGGGCCCUGGAGUCAGAGAGCAGAACAGUGAACCACACCACUUGUCUCCGAGCAGGAGCUGGGAAGCCAGCGGCCUGAGGCCUUUGUGAGGGCCUUCCUGAAGCAGAGCAUCCCUCACUGGAGCCAGCAAGACUGUGAGAGCCAUCUGCAACGCAAGGCUGUGGUCUUGGAAUACUUGUCAGAAGCCAAAGCAGCAGCAGAAGAAAUCCAAAGGCCUCACUGCCAAACAGAGGAGAGACAUGAGGCUCUUUGACAUUAACCCAGAGCAACAGAGCCACAAAAUCCAAGUGCCCCUCCUAUGUGGGGGUCACAGGACUCCUUCUGCAUGAGACCAAGCAUGUCUUCAAGAUCAUCACCAAAGAAGACAACCUGAAAGUAUUUGAAGAUGGUACAUUCCAGAUGGCAUCUAAGUCUCUUCCAGUCCUGAUGUCUGAUUUGACCAGGCUUGAGCCAGGCUUUUCUGAAUGCUGAAAAGGAUCACCCAAUGACCAGUCUCUCAGGUUCUGAAGAAUAAACAUGAAGAUUCUUCCCCAAAUCCAUCAAUUAAGGUGAAGCUGCCGAAGUGAUCAGGGUUGCCAGAGUCCUGAACCAACCAGGGUGACUGGUCAUCUUACUUCAGCGACACCAGCUUCAGCUUGGCUCCAAAGAUGAGCCUGGGGUUUCUUCCUGCCAUGGGCCUAUGUCUUCAUCUCUUCAAGAUGCUGUCACAAAAGGAUCACAGAUCAGGAUGAAUAGAGACAUUUCCACCUACAGAGAAACAGCAGAUGUGAUGGCUCCUGUACUCCUGAUUUGGCAUGCCAUUCCCCCAAGUGCCUGAAACAUCACUUCUGAAACCUGUCUUCUCAUCUCCCUCAAAGAACAGAUGCCUGAGAUCUCCACACUUGAGAUCUCCACAAUAACAGCUAAAAGAAUGCUUCUUCACUCAAACCUCCCACUGUACAUGACUCCCAAUUUCCCCCUCCCCACUUCACCCCUUGUGAGCAGGAAGCAGCUGGAAAAUUUGGUGCCCUCAUUCCCCCAACUUGCUAUCCAUAACUCACCUUUUAUUAUAACCAAAAUGGAGGGAUGUUAGUAUUCUGACCCGCCCCUUGGGGACCUGCCCAGCAUCCUGAUGCCAUCCUAAGUUCCCUUUAAGAAAAACUCCUCCUUCUUCUCUCUCUCUGUCUCUCUCUCUCUGUCUCUCUGUCUCUCUGUCUCUGUCUCUCUCUGUCUCUGUCUGUCUCUCUCUCUCUCUCUCUCUCUCUCUCUCUCUCUCUCUCUCUCUCUCUCCUCUUUCCUCUGUUCCUUUAAUAAUAAAACUUGCUACGUGUAUGUUGUGUCUGCUGUGUGAGUAACUUUCCACCACAACUCGACACUGUCCACCGUGCCUACAUGGCAUGUCUCACCUACUGUGGGGCACCUUGGUCCAAACUCACCAAGGCCUCUCAUGUGCCAUUUCACAACAUUAACAGACUUCUUAAUAAUUUUGAAAGCUUGGCCUAUAGCUUAGGCUUAUUUCAAAUAGCUCUUAUAACUUAAAUUAAUCCAUUUAUAUUAAAUUUACCAUGUGGCAUAACCUCUCUUCCAUCUUGCACCUCCUGUCUCUUCUCCAUGUCUGACUGACCACUCUGCCUUUCAUCUUCCCAGAGUCCUGUCUGUCUCCAAAGUCUUACCUAUACCUCCUGCCUACCUAUUGGCCAUUCAGUUUUUUAUUACACCAAUCACUGUAAUAUACCUUCACACAGUGUAAAGUAUUUCACAACAUCUCACCAGAUGGAAGAAGGCAGUAUAUCCACCAAGGGCAGUUGGUGGUUGAUCCAGAAGAUGCCAGCUGGCUCCCUGGAUCACCACACAAGUGGACACAGAUGUCAUGGAGUCCAGGAGGAUGCCCUCAGGUAAGCAGAUGCAGAGAUGGUUGUUGAACUUCAAUUUUUUGGAAGUGGGCUGGCACUGAGUGCUUUCCAAGGACCCCUUUGAACUUCAACAAUUACCAAUGUCCAAGUGUGCAUAGGAGCCUGGGGGACUUGCCUUCAGCAGGCAAGAUGGAAACACAGAGAUUUGAACCCAGGUUUCUAGUGCCGAAGCCAUUGCUUUCCCCACAAACUGACAGGUCACACAUUAGCAGGGGAGUUUUAGGCCAACAAAUACAUACAUACAUACAUGCAUACAUACAUAAAUAGUAAAAAUAAAUUUUUUUAAAAAAGUGGCUACAAGAAGUUCAGCUGCAAAGAAGGCUGAUGGCCACACUCUGAGACCUUGGUCCUGCCACCCCAUGGGUGUCCAAAGUAGCCAGCAGUCAAGGCCUUCCCUUGAAUGACCACAGUGGUCUGCAGUCUCUUCCCCAGGGUGUUCUUCUUAAGAUGCUAAUGAAUGACCCUCCAACUUCCUGAGCCAGGCUCAGCCUCUUCCUUAAGUAGCUUCAGAUCUCAUUCUUGAUUGCACUCCUUGAAGAGCUGAUUUGGGCCACUUGGCUCUAAUUUUGCUGUGCUCAUAAGAAUGGGAAGAGAACACAGCUAAGAAGGGAAGCAUUUGAGCUCAGCACUGCUACAGAAAAUGCAGUCCCAGGAAGCAAGACUUAAGACAGUCAGAAUUGGAACAAGAGAGAAGAGAAGUCUUUUCUUUUCAGUGCUAUGAAUAAGUUAUCCCUAGUUAUUCCCACAUAAGCCACCCUCCUUCCUAUGUGACAGGGUCUUGUCAUGUAAAGAUAUGCCACUUUUCCUUCAUGACUUUAGUUCAUCAUUGGAAUGAAAUAAUUUCCAGAAGCCUCAACUCCAGUUCUUAAACUGGGAAAAUGUGACUUGAGUAGAAAUUAUAUUAUGUGUGAUUUAUUUUAAGAUUUGUUUUUAUUCUCCCCUGGUCUUGGGACUCCCCUCCCCAUUGUCUGACCAUGGGCCUGGAAAUUACAAAUGUAUACCCAAGAUAAAAAUUUCCUCAUGAAUUACUUAUUUUACCUUCUGUCCCUAGUCUAUAUCUGUCCCAACAUAUUUCCAAUCAACUGAAGACUACAAACUGCUCCAAAUGUGCCAGCCCCAGGUGCUUCUGACUGAAUUUCUGACCAGCCUGAGCCUCUGCAACACAGACUGUUCCAAAGCAGCAUGUGCUUCCUUAGCCCCAGGUGAUCCCACAGACCCCAGGCUGCAAGGCAAACAGCCUGCACUCCUCCCUCUUCCCAUCCUUUGACCAUUAUUCCAGCCUUCCUGGAACCUGACAACAAUGCCCCAAUUUCAGCAGGAAGCAGUUAUAGAAGAGAUUACAUCACCCCUUAUCAUCAACAACAGACUGAAAUGUUAGGUCACAAAGCCAGGACAAGCUUUACUCAGUACCUGUGGCUCCUCUCAGCACUUCUCACCCCACCCCGUCCUAAACCACUCCCUCCCAGCUGGGCUUCUGCUUCCCUUCCUCGAGCCUGAUCCUUGUGUAACUCAGCAGUUUUGGCUAUGCCAGUCUCUUGGUCUCUUGGCCUGGGUGGCUUUGGUCAGCAGCUCAUCACAUGCUCUCUCUCCAUCUCUCCUCUCAUGGUCCUAUUUAGUCAGCCAGCCAUGUUCAACAUGAACUCUCCUCUGCUUACUUUCUCCCUUAUAUCUACAAGAAAAAGCUUAGCUAUACUUUAGUAGUCAUGUCCUCCUUUUAUUUCACUUCUCAUUCAGUCUGCAUGUAUGUCCUUGUCUGUGUGUAUGUCUGGUGCUUGCAGAGGCCAGAAGAGAGCAUCAGAUUCCCUGGAACCAGAGUUAAUGAUGGUUAUAAGCCACCUGAUGUGAAUGCUGUGAAUUUAAUCCAGGUCAUAUGCAAAAGCAGACAGUGCUCUUAACCACUGAGCCAUCUCUCCAGCCCCUUAUGUGUCAUUUUAAGGAGUCUUCAGGGAAUGAUACAGUAUGGAAAUAAAAAACACACAUUACAGCCAA